CUAAGGGUUGAGGGGAGCUCCGCACUUCCUUUCCAUGCGGCCCCCGGGCGCGCAGGCUUCUCGUGCAGCAUGGCGGGCGACGGAGGCCCGGGCCUGUGGAUCCCGGCCUGUCCUCGGGCUCUUCCAGGUACAACAAAACCUGUCUCUCUUGAAGGUGCUUGAACAAAUGUUUUCCUGAAACUUGUCAUGGAAGGUGGUUUAAAUAAGCCACCAGGACAGCAGUUGCCAGUAACAAGGUACAGAUAUUAAGCAUGUAGGUAGCUGCAGGUGAAACUCCCACCUCAGGAGCUGUGAUGUUUACAAAUACUUCGUUGGUUUCAGGUGCAGCAGACAUUUGGAUGGUGAAAUGAAGAAUUGGUCAGGAAACCGUGAACAGAAGCAAAUGAUGAGUUAGUGUUUUAUUUGAUAGUAAUCAACAAUAAAUUAUGUAGAAAUAAACCGCAA